AAGUCGUAACAAGGUUUCCGUAGGUGAACCUGCGGAAGGAUCAUUAACACGUGAUUUUUCACGUACAAACCAACCGUGAACUGUUGUUUAUGUUUAUUUACCCUGUAUUAUUUGGUCUAAUUCUUUUUGGCAUUCGACGAUCUCCUGGGCAACCGGUCGAGGACGUCUUGAGUGUCGAAUCAUACAAAAUUCGAAACAACUCUUAGCAACGGAUAUCUUGGUUCUCGUAACGAUGAAGAACGUAGC
rnacentral:misc_RNA from 1 species